UUCGGCUCAGAUCAGGUAGGGAUACCCGCUG
rnacentral:rRNA from 1 species